AUUGAACGCUGGCGGCAGGCCUAACACAUGCAAGUCGAAUGGUAACAGGAAACAGCUUGCUGUUUCGCUGACGAGUGGCGGACGGGUGAGUAAUGUCUGGGAAACUGCCUGAUGGAGGGGGAUAACUACUGGAAACGGUAGCUAAUACCGCAUAACGUCGCAAGACCAAAGAGGGGGACCUUCGGGCCUCUUGCCAUCAGAUGUGCCCAGAUGGGAUUAGCUAGUAGGUGGGGUAAUGGCUCACCUAGGCGACGAUCCCUAGCUGGUCUGAGAGGAUGACCAGCCACACUGGAACUGAGACACGGUCCAGACUCCUACGGGAGGCAGCAGUGGGGAAUAUUGCACAAUGGGCGCAAGCCUGAUGCAGCCAUGCCGCGUGUAUGAAGAAGGCCUUCGGGUUGUAAAGUACUUUCAGCGGGGAGGAAGGGAGUAAAGUUAAUACCUUGGCUCAUUGACGUUACCCGCAGAAGAAGCACCGGCUAACUCCGUG
rnacentral:rRNA from 1 species